UCAGCAAGUGCUUAUUUUUGGUUUCAUCAGAAAGUCUCCAUCUCUGGUGUGAGCACUAUCUCCUAAACCCCUGUCUGAAAGCUGAUUUAGUUCUGACAUCAUCUUCCACUGAAGUAUCAGUGUUGCCGCCAAAAACACCUGGUGUUUGCUUGGCAUCUUUCCCAUCCCAGUCUCAACUUGUCUCAGGCCAGCUUACCUGAGAUCUACGGAGAACCCAGCACGAGAAAAAACUGUGGUAACCAUUGAGAAGAUAAGGACAAUGAUGGCCUCCCUGUCUGCGUGAUGUACUGGAUCAUCAAUGAGCCCUGGACCAAAGCACUGGACCAUUGAUACCAGAAGACACAUGAAUAACAGAGUUAGGCAGCAGGAAGAAUGAGAGAGCCUCUUGGGUUACAAAUGAAUUAUGUCAGAACAAUGGAAUUACUUCUAAGACAUGAUUUAUUUCCUGUUGGAUUAUAGAUCAGAACUGACAUCUAGUGGUCUUUUUGGAAGUCAACAGUUUUAUAAAUGUGAGUAAUUUUUUUUAAAGAUACAAUUUAAAGAUACAAUUAUUUAAUGUACAGUAUAAGAAAAUUAACUAAUAUAAAGUCACAUUAGUUUAUCUCGAUACCCUUUAUAGCUGAAGAAUAUGCUUUCAUGGAAGAUAAUACAUAACAUUUCUUUCUGAACAACAGAUUUUAAAAAGCAUAAUACAAACUAUUAGGUAUGCAUGCAAAACAAUGAAAAAAUGAGUAUUUAAAAGUGUCAGUUAAUUAAGUUUUAAAUUUUUAUGGAGAAAUCUUGGAAUUAUUUAACCAAAUGUAUGAGCCAUCUAUAAUGUAAUUGGCUUACCGGAAUAAUAGUUUGAGGACACAGAAAUGUUAUACAAAGCUAUAUUCUAGUUAUACAUAAUUUUAUUUUCCCCUUCUUCCUUUUUUCCCACCCUGUAUUCCAAGGUAGAACUUUCUAUAGACUAAUUUAAUAAAUUAUUUUUUAUGUUUUUGCCUCUAAGGGCUAUGUUAGAGGAAA
rnacentral:lncRNA from 10 species